rnacentral:misc_RNA from 1 species
UCCAUAAAGUGUGAGAACGUUGGGCAAAAAUCAUUUCCGAGUACAUGCCCCCUUUCAGUGUAAGACAAAUGCUGUUUAAGAAACUGAGGUCACCCUACCCGGCAAUGUAUUUCUGCAGACUCAAACAUUAAACAUGGCAAAAGCCCCUCAACCACUUAGAUUAAGCUUGCUAAAAGUCUAAAACUACUGAGACCCUUUCUUGUUCAGGCAGGGGGCAAGCACGAUUGAUGUGGUGAUUCCUCUUGAACAUAGUGGCACAUGGGACUUAGUUUCUCUUGCUCUAGAGAAAGAAUUG